rnacentral:rRNA from 1 species
UGGGGAAUAUUGCACAAUGGGCGCAAGCCUGAUGCAGCCAUGCCGCGUGUAUGAAGAAGGCCUCGGGUUGUAAAGUACUUUCAGCGAGAGGAAGGCAUUAAGGUUAAUAACCUUGGUGAUUGACGUUACUCGCAGAAGAAGCACCGGCUAACUCCGUGCCAGCAGCCGCGGUAAUACGGAGGGUGCAAGCGUUAAUCGGAAUUACUGGGCGUAAAGCGCACGCAGGCGGUCUGUCAAGUCGGAUGUGAAAUCCCCGGGCUCAACCUGGGAACUGCAUUCGAAACUGGCAGGCUAGAGUCUUGUAGAGGGGU